CAGCAGCCGCGGUAAUACAGAGGGUGCAAGCGUUAAUCGGAAUUACUGGGCGUAAAGCGCGCGUAGGUGGUUUGUUAAGUUGGAUGUGAAAUCCCCGGGCUCAACCUGGGAACUGCAUCCAAAACUGGCAGGCUAGAGUAGGGCAGAGGGUGGUGGAAUUUCCUGUGUAGCGGUGAAAUGCGUAGAUAUAGGAAGGAACACCAGUGGCGAAGGCGACCACCUGGGCUCAUACUGACACUGAGUUGCGAAAGCGUGGGGAGCAAACAGGAUUAGAUACCCCCGUAGUCCCUGUCUCUUAUAC
rnacentral:rRNA from 1 species